rnacentral:rRNA from 1 species
GACGAACCGUGCGAACGUUGUUCGGAAUCACUGGGCUUAAAGGGCGCGUAGGCGGCUUGCCAAGUCAGGGGUGAAAUCUUUCGGCUUAACCGGAAAAGUGCCUUUGAUACUGGCAGGCUAGAGGGAGGUAGGGGCAUGCGGAACUUCCGGUGGAGCGGUGAAAUUCGUAGAUAUUCGCAAGAACACCAGUGGCGAAGGCGGCUCACUGGCCCGGAACUGACGCUGAGGUGCGAAAGCGUGGGGAGCAAACAGG